rnacentral:sRNA from 1 species
UGGUCUGGUGGGGUUGAUUGCACCCGAG